GGGCGAUUAGCUCAGCUGGUUAGAGCGCGCGCCUCACAUGCGCGAGGUCGGGGGUUCGAGCCCCUCAUCGCCCAUCA
rnacentral:tRNA from 1 species